rnacentral:rRNA from 1 species
GAUGAGCGCUGGCGGCGAGCUUAACACAUGCAAGUCGGACGAACGGAGGAGUGCUUGCACUCCAAAGUAGUGGCGGACGGGUGAGUAACGCGUGGGUAACCUGCCCUAUGCAGGGGGAUAACGUUUGGAAACGAACGCUAAUACCGCAUAAACUAUCGGUAGUCGCAUGACUACUAUAGCAAAGAAUUUUCGGCAUAGGAUGGACCCGCGUUGGAUUAGCUAGUUGGUGAGAUAACAGCCCACCAAGGCGACGAGCCAUAGCCGGCCUGAGAGGGUGAACGGCCACAUUGGGACUGAGACACGGCCCAAACUCCUACGGGAGGCAGCAGUGGGGAAGAUUGCACAAUGGGCGAAAGCCUGAUGCAGCAACGCCGCGUGAAGGAUGAAGGUCUUCGGAUUGUAAACUUCUAUCAGCAGGGAAGAAUAAAUGACGGUACCUGACUAAGAAGCUCCGGCUAACUACGUGCCAGCAGCCGCCGCCGUAA